GUGCUUGCUUCGGCAGCACAUAAACUAAAAUUGGAAUGAUACAGAGAAGAUUAGCAUGGCCCCUGUGCAAGGAUGACACGCAAAUUCGCGAAGCGUUUCUUAUUAAA
ensembl:snRNA U6 U6 spliceosomal RNA